AAACGAUCAAAGGAUUUGAUUCAGCAAACUUUUUUUAGUCUAUGGUACAAUGCUAACAAAAUAUUAUAUCAAAAUACAACAUGCUGUUUACUAUCUAACACAAGUCAUAAUCAAAUUCAAUUAUCUUAUCAAUACCACUGCUGUACUGAAAAAGUUGUGAAUCUUCUCAGUUUUGGGAAACGGGGGACUACACCUAGCUGUUAAAGCUACAAACUUCAAUGUGUUUCAUUGGAGUUUUAUCAACACACCAGCACAAAGUUGUGCAGGACAGCGCUGUUCAAGUCCUGUUGAUAAAAUUCACCAAAUCAGUCAGAUGCUAAGGACAUCUCUGGAAUACCCACUUCGGUUGGCAACUUGGAGUUUGGUGCCUUUGCCAUGGCAACAUAACUUUUUAUUUUAGCUAUGUCUGAAUAUUUUGUUUUUGAAGAAAGGAAAAAAACAACAAAUACAGGAGUUUGUUGUCAGAUGUACAAAACAACUAAUGGCACCACACCAUUGCAGACUGAAUGCUGAAACUGGAUUUGAAAGGUACACAAAACUGUUGGGUUCUGGGGUUCACUGGCUGUCCACCAUAUAGCGCCCGAGGCUGCUGUUUCCGGGGGAGGCGUGCCCGUAGGCAGCACACCUGACAAGGAUCUUCUCAUCAUCUGGAGGUGUUUCAUAUCGAGUCAUUCCCUGGAUCCUCCCUGUGAGAUUCUCGCUGUGGCUUUGGAUUUAGCCCUUCUCGUGACGCCGUGGGUGGUACCCACAGGUUGCCCGAGUUUCCAUCUCCACCUCAUCUAUCAGAUCUCAGGAUUCUCCACUUCACUCCCUCCGGCUGGCAGUCAGACUUUUCCCUCCGUCAUCGCCUAAUCCCAAACUUACCUGUCCGCCCUCCAUCGCCGUUCUCCCAGCCUCUGGACCUCGUUUCCGCUCUGCAGCCCAUCCGGAACCUGCAGUAUCCACCCUCUCAAUCAAGACCAUCCCCGGCAAGAAUAAGCCGCCGUCAGCAGCACCUCCCUCCUCUGGUUCGGACCCCACACCUCGUCAAUCUCUUUACUGGUUUAUUUUACAAUAAAUAUUCUUAAACUGAUUAUCUGUCUCCUGUGGUGUUCUGCAUGUGGGCUAGAAACCUAAACCCAAACAUGACAGAACACUCCAGCCAGCGGGCAAGCCCCGCAGACGCCAUCAGAUGGACACUGACAGAACAACACUCAUUACUUCAGGCACAUGAAUCCGCCCUCCAAGAGUUAAGGUCCCGUCAAGCAGAGACCAACCAAUGCUUAACCGAACGUAUGAACUUUUUACAGAAAUCUACCCCGCAGACUUCACCUCCAGUUCCAGACCCAGUUCCGCCUAUCCAUUCCACCUUUUCCGAGAUCAGACCCCCAACUCCAGAAAGAUUUUCCGGGGACGUUUACAGGUGCAAAGGCUUCAUUUUACAGUGCUCUUUAAUCUUUAACCACUCACCCCAGAGUUUUCCUCAUGAUAGCUCCAAGAUUGCUUAUGUUUUGUCCCUGCUGUCUGGUCGAGCCCUCAAUUGGGCAGAGGCCCGA